GUCGAGAUAGUGUGAAUUUAAAGCAUUAUAAUUUUUCGUGUUAUAGGUCUCUUUGGAGUUUCGAUG
rnacentral:tRNA from 1 species